CACGUAGGGUGCGAGCGUUGUCCGGAAUUAUUGGGCGUAAAGAGCUCGUAGGCGGUUUGUCGCGUCGGCCGUGAAAUCUCCACGCUUAACGUGGAGCGUGCGGUCGAUACGGGCAGACUUGAGUUCGGUAGGGGAGACUGGAAUUCCUGGUGUAGCGGUGGAAUGCGGCAGAUAUCAGGAGGAACACCGGUGGCGAAGGCGGGUCUCUGGGCAGUAACUGACGCUGGAGGAGCGAAAGCCGUGGGGAGCGAACAGG
rnacentral:rRNA from 1 species